UUAGUUGAUCUUAUUAGUAGUCAUAUGCUUGUCUCAAAGAUUAAGCCAUGAAUGUAUAAAUAUAAAUUUUUUUAUAUUGUGAAAUUGUGAAUGGCUUAUUAAAUCAAUAAUAGUUUAUUUGAUAGUACCUUACUACUCAGAUAACUAUAGCAAUUCUAUAACUAAUAUGUGUAAAGAGUCCUGACCUUCAAAAGGCAUGCACUUACUAGAUUCAAGACUAAUGUGUACUCAUUUAUAUUCUCAGUGGUUCAUGAUAACUUGUCAAAUCAUAUGGUCCUCGUGUCAGUGAUACUUAAAUUAAAUUUCUACCCUAUCAACUUUUGAUGGUAGGAUAUAAUAGGGAAUUAGGGUUUGAUUUUGAGAUACAGCUACCACAUCUAGGGAAGGUAGCAAACGCACGAAUUAUCCAAUUCUGACAUUGGGAGGUACUGACAAUAAAUAAUAAUACUGAGCUUUCAAAAUUUGGUAAUUGGAAUGAGUACAAUAUAAAUCUCUUAAGGAAGAUUCAUUAGAGGGCAAGUCUAGUGCCAAUAGCUAUAGUAAUUCUAAUUCUAAUAACAUGUUAUUAUAGUUAAAAAGCUCAUUUGGAUCUCAGGACAAGAUGAAUGGUUUCCCUAUAUGCACUAGUCACCCCAUUCUAUGAGUCAAUGAUGCUACUUUGAUCUUUACUGGCUAGGGUGUGGAGUCGACAAUGUUAUUUUGAAAAAAUUAAAGUGCUCAAAACAGACUCAUACUCUAAAUACAUUAGUAUGGAAUAAUGUAAUAGGACUCUAAUCCUGUUGUGUUGGUCUCCAAGAUAUGAGUAAUGAUUAGUAGGGACAAUUGGGGGCAUUUGUACUCUAUUGUUAGAGAUGAAAUUCUUAAGCAUUUGCUGAGGAUGCUUUUAUUAAUCAAGAAUGAAAGUUAGGAGCUCAAAUAUGAUUAAAUACCAUUUUAGUCUUAACCAUAGAUGAUGAUGAUUAGGGAUUGGCAGAUGUUAUUUGGAUGACAACACCAUCACCUCAUGAAAAAUCAAAGUCUUUGAGUUCCA
rnacentral:ncRNA from 1 species